rnacentral:rRNA from 1 species
UGACAGUACUCCUACGGGGAGGCAGCAGUGGGGGAAUAUUGCACAAUGGGCGCAAGCCUGAUGCAGCCAUGCCGCGUGUGUGAAGAAGGACCUUCGGGUUGUAAAGCACUUUCAGUCGUGAGGAAGGUAGUGUAGUUAAUAGCUGCAUUAUUUGACGUUAGCGACAGAAGAAGCACCGGCUAACUCCGUGCCAGCAGCCGCGGUAAUACGGAGGGUGCGAGCGUUAAUCGGAAUUACUGGGCGUAAAGCGCAUGCAGGUGGUUUGUUAAGUCAGAUGUGAAAGCCCGGGGCUCAACCUCGGAAUAGCAUUUGAAACUGGCAGACUAGAGUACUGUAGAGGGGGGUAGGAAUUUCAGGUGUAGCGGUGAAAUGCGUAGAGAUCUGAAGGAAUACCGGUGGCGAAGGCGGCCCCCUGGACAGAUACUGACACUCAGAUGCGAAAGCGUGGGGAGCAAACAGGAUUAGAUACCCUGGUAG